UUCCAUAGGAUAUUAGGGCGAUCCAUAUCCUAUCAAUCAAUAUAUUCUCCACUCUCAUCUCUAUGGAUUCUUUUCAACUCCCUUUUUUUUCUUUUUUUUUUCAUUAAUUUUAACCCUAAAACGGGGAUCUGAAACAGUACAAUCGUCCGGUAUACCAGAGAAACGUCGGCUCUAGCUUACAAGGCUUCAACCUCAGUCACAAACAAACAAUCUAAUAGCAGAGAGGAUAAUGGUAUGAGCAAAAGAAAGCUCGAGAAACUGAGUUCCGACCCCGAAUUGAACACCAGCAGUCGGCAUUCCGGUGGGCCGCCACUUCACGCUGGGGGGUCCACAACCAGCGCAAGAUCCGUCGACAGUUCACCAUCAUGCUUGAUCACCUUCGGAGGAGCCCCGCAGCCGCAAAACGCCGGGAUCUGAAGACCCGACUCCAAACCCUAACCGCUUCGAGAUCGUCCGUAUCGCCAUCGUCACACAGGUCUGAGAAAUCCGCGCACUACCCCCUUCGUCGUUCCGUUGGAGAGAAGAGACCACGCCUGAAAGGAGAGCAACCAGAAGAACUGCCAUCCCCUUUGAUGGUCCCGUUGUCGGCGGUCUCUCUUCACAAUAGCUCUAGAUCCCGAUGAUCAACUUGUGGUACCGGCUUCUACUCCCUCAUCCUCAAAACAGAGCGUGUCAGCCAGAAGAUCCGACGAACCACAGGACCGUCGAGCUAACAUUGAGGCCCGCCACUACAGAGACCUACCCGGAUCUCGGAGAAAAAGGAGGAGUGCCUCCAAAUAACGCCAAAACGAAACUGUUCCGACAACGUAGAACGAGAUCCGAAAGAGAAAGAGGGGUGGGAGACCGCCGACGAACCAAAAAAGUCGCAGGAAAGCUGAAACUAUGACAAUGAGAUCCACCGGAAAGUCUCCAGUCGUCCUGUAUUUUAAAGCCAUCUCAGCCGAAUCAGAACUACUGCUUUCCAGUGCGUCCUGUGACCUAUGUUGUUCUCCCAUACCAAAAGAUCAUCAUCCACCAGCGUAUUGCCUUCCGGUUCGUACUAGGUUCAUAGCUCUGUCACUGUCUGUUUAACUCUGUAGGAUGAUGCCGGGCAACAUUCAGUUGAUUUUUUAAAGAGAAUUUAUGUUCUUUGACACAUGCACAUGUUGAGUUUAAUGAGUUUGGUGGAAGCUCAAUGUUAGCAAAGAUGAAUUCUACUGGACACCGGCAAAUUAUAUUAAAGAACUUGAGGAAACUAUGCUUCAGAUUAACAUAGAUGAAUUCAAGUUACUUCUCUUUAUAUCCAUUUUCUGGGUAAAAUCUGGUUUGAGUUAUUGAAAAGUCUUUAUACUAAUGAGAAUUUUGCAGCGUCAGGUUAUUUAUGUUGUGGUGAGGUUACGAAGGGAAUCUCUAAGAGUAUCUGUUAUAAGGAAGAAUCAUGUUCCUAUAAAAGGGCCGUAUUAUCUGUUGUAGAGAAGACUUUGGACAUGGUAUAUCAGAAGAGUUCAUCCCUUAGCAAGAUCAAGUCGCACGUGUUUGCAACAGCGUAGUUAUAACAUAUACCAUCAUUGAUCCCAUUGCUUGGCUUGCAAAGUUAAAGCCCUUAUCAAUUUUAUCUUGAACCACCAACUUUUAUUGGAAACACGUACGCCUGAGAGGCUUUUCUAAAGGAAUUAGUUAGGUGUCUGUAGUGAAGCUUUCGCUACAAGUUGUAGCCUACAAUUAGGCCUGGAGCUGCUCCAACGGCUCCUGAUAUGCGAGUUAGACUAUCUCAGAUAGAGACUGACUUCCUAACCAGAGAUUAAUGAAGGGUCAAAACAAUAAGGAUGAUUCUAAGGGUUCACGAUGAUUUUUUUAUUUUUUUAAAGUUUUAACUUUUAAAGCGAUAUGUAUUCAUUUCUUAUGAUUACAUAAUUGAGCUUAUAAGGUCUAUCAUACACUCUGAUGCCAAAUUACAAAUAUCAUCUGGUUUAUGAAAAUUAAGCUUACCAGUUUUAGGAAGAUACAAGUAUUGUUUUAUAUAUGAAAAUAUUUUUGGGUU